rnacentral:lncRNA from 1 species
CAUAUAAAUAAAUUUGGUGUAUUUACUGUCUUCUGAUUGGUUAAAAUUAUUAGUUUUAUUUUCAAUGUUGUCAAUUUUGAUGGCGACACGCCCACUCUGACGUUGUGUAUUCAUACGCCAACAUGUGUGUACGUUGUUAUUGUUAAUAUAAAUAAUUUAAAAUGUUCCUUGAGCCUUAUUUUUGAUAGAAAUUUAUUUAUAAUGAAUGGCAAUAAUUUAUUU